rnacentral:tRNA from 1 species
GUUUUAAUAAUUUAAAUAAAAAUAUUGGUUUUGUAAACCAAACUUAGAUCUUAAUCUUUAAAACA